UGAAUUAUUCGCCAGGAAGUUCAUAAAAUUGAUGAAAGAGGAUAUGCAUGCUCAGUUCAGGGUUGGAGCCCUAAUAUCGACUAGCUGGGGAAAGGUUCAGUUUAGAGUUGAAACUCUAAUACUAACCAACUGGGGAAAAGUUCAGUUUAGGGUUUAAAACCCUAAUGCUGAUUAAAGGAAAAAGUUCAGUUCAGGGUUUAAAACCCUAAUGCUGACUAAAGGAAAGAGUUCAGUUUAGGGUUUAAAACCCUAAUGCUGACAUGCAUGGAAAAAGCUCAGUUUAGGGUUUUAAAACCCUAAUGCUGGCUGAAAGGAAAAAAAAUUCAGUUUAGGGUUUAAAACCCUAAUGUUGACUGCAUGGAAGAGCUCAGUUUAAGGUUUAAAACCCUAAUGC
rnacentral:lncRNA from 1 species